GAAGCAACAAAUGCCCUGCUUCCAGGAAAAGCCUCUAAGCAUCAGGUAACAUCAAAUCGUACCCCAAACCGACACAGGUGGUCAGGUAGAGAAUACCAAGGCGCUUGAGAGAACUCGGGUGAAGGAACUAGGCAAAAUGGUGCCGUAACUUCGGGAGAAGGCACGCUGAUAUGUAGGUGAAGUCCCUCGCGGAUGGAGCUGAAAUCAGUCGAAGAUACCAGCUGGCUGCAACUGUUUAUUAAAAACACAGCACUGUGCAAACACGAAAGUGGACGUAUACGGUGUGACGCCUGCCCGGUGCCGGAAGGUUAAUUGAUGGGGUUAGCGCAAGCGAAGCUCUUGAUCGAAGCCCCGGUAAACGGCGGCCGUAACUAUAACGGUCCUAAGGUAGCGAAAUUCCUUGUCGGGUAAGUUCCGACCUGCACGAAUGGCGUAAUGAUGGCCAGGCUGUCUCCACCCGAGACUCAGUGAAAUUGAACUCGCUGUGAAGAUGCAGUGUACCCGCGGCAAGACGGAAAGACCCCGUGAACCUUUACUAUAGCUUGACACUGAACAUUGAGCCUUGAUGUGUAGGAUAGGUGGGAGGCUUUGAAGUGUGGACGCCAGUCUGCAUGGAGCCGACCUUGAAAUACCACCCUUUAAUGUUUGAUGUUCUAACGUUGACCCGUAAUCCGGGUUGCGGACAGUGUCUGGUGGGUAGUUUGACUGGGGCGGUCUCCUCCUAAAGAGUAACGGAGGAGCACGAAGGUUGGCUAAUCCUGGUCGGACAUCAGGAGGUUAGUGCAAUGGCAUAAGCCAGCUUGACUGCGAGCGUGACGGCGCGAGCAGGUGCGAAAGCAGGUCAUAGUGAUCCGGUGGUUCUGAAUGGAAGGGCCAUCGCUCAACGGAUAAAAGGUACUCCGGGGAUAACAGGCUGAUACCGCCCAAGAGUUCAUAUCGACGGCGGUGUUUGGCACCUCGAUGUCGGCUCAUCACAUCCUGGGGCUGAAGUAGGUCCCAAGGGUAUGGCUGUUCGCCAUUUAAAGUGGUACGCGAGCUGGGUUUAGAACGUCGUGAGACAGUUCGGUCCCUAUCUGCCGUGGGCGCUGGAGAACUGAGGGGGGCUGCUCCUAGUACGAGAGGACCGGAGUGGACGCAUCACUGGUGUUCGGGUUGUCAUGCCAAUGGCACUGCCCGGUAGCUAAAUGCGGAAGAGAUAAGUGCUGAAAGCAUCUAAGCACGAAACUUGCCCCGAGAUGAGUUCUCCCUGACUCCUUGAGAGUCCUGAAGGAACGUUGAAGACGACGACGUUGAUAGGCCGGGUGUGUAAGCGCAGCGAUGCGUUGAGCUAACCGGUACUAAUGAACCGUGAGG
rnacentral:rRNA from 1 species